rnacentral:rRNA from 1 species
AGUGAACGCUGGCGGUAGGCCUAACACAUGCAAGUCGAACGGCAGCACAGUAAGCGCUUGCUCUUACGGGUGGCGAGUGGCGGACGAGUGAGGAAUACAUCGGAAUCUACUUUUUCGUGGGGGAUAACGUAGGGAAACUUACGCUAAUACCGCAUACGACCUACGGGUGAAAGCAGGGGAUCUUCGGACCUUGCGCGAUUGAAUGAGCCGAUGUCGGAUUAGCUAGUUGGCGGGGUAAAGGCCCACCAAGGCGACGAUCCGUAGCUGGUCUGAGAGGAUGAUCAGCCACACUGGAACUGAGACACGGUCCAGACUCCUACGGGAGGCAGCAGUGGGGAAUAUUGGACAAUGGGCGCAAGCCUGAUCCAGCCAUACCGCGUGGGUGAAGAAGGCCUUCGGGUUGUAAAGCCCUUUUGUUGGGAAAGAAAAGCAGCAGGUUAAUACCCCGCUGUUCUGACGGUACCCAAAGAAUAAGCACCGGCUAACUUCGUG